rnacentral:rRNA from 1 species
GAUGAACGCUGGCGGCGUGCUUAACACAUGCAAGUCGAACGAAGCACUUAAGACGGAUUACUUCGGUUUGAAGUCUUAUUUGACUGAGUGGCGGACGGGUGAGUAACGCGUGGGUAACCUGCCUCAUACAGGGGGAUAACAGUUAGAAAUGACUGCUAAUACCGCAUAAGCGCACGGUCUCGCAUGGGACAGUGUGAAAAACUCCGGUGGUAUGAGAUGGACCCGCGUCUGAUUAGCUAGUUGGUGGGGUAAGGGCUCACCAAGGCGACGAUCAGUAGCCGGCCUGAGAGGGUGAACGGCCACAUUGGGACUGAGACACGGCCCAA